GACGUAGGGCGCGAGCGUUGUCCGGAUUUAUUGGGCGUAAAGAGCUCGUAGGUGGUUUGUUACGUCUGCUGUGAAAACCUAGGGCUUAACCCUGGGCUUGCAGUGGAUACGGGCAGACUAGAGGUAGGUAGGGGAGAAUGGAAUUCCUGGUGUAGCGGUGAAAUGCGCAGAUAUCAGGAGGAACACCGGUGGCGAAGGCGGUUCUCUGGGCCUUACCUGACACUGAGGAGCGAAAGCGUGGGGAGCGAACAGG
rnacentral:rRNA from 1 species